CAAACAGCGCCCGGGCGCGGGGUGCGAGGCUCCGUCACGAGGCGCUCCGUCCCGCCCCGCCGGCUGGAGGGCCCAUGGAGGCCGCGAGCAGAGAGCGGCCGAGUGAGGGAACGCGGCCGGUAGGGCCUCGCACCCCGGAGGAAGCGGGCUGCGGUGCGGAAGCAGCAGCGGGAGGCGCCGGGCCACCCGAGACGGGACUCCUUACAUAAGCGAGGAGUGCCCGUGUCCCGCUCCCCGGUUUUGUACACGCCCCGGGCUUUCGAAAUUGUCCCUGUGCAGCUGCGGGAUGUGCCGGGUCGCAAGGCGCAGCGCAGCGCGGGUGGAAGCGGGGCUCGCCUUUCUCCGGCUCCACCAGUUAGCGUCCGCUGGAAUCACCACAGAAAGGGUUUAACACAGAGCAUUUCCGAGGUGUUCAAGGUUGUGAUGAAAAGAAGGCACAGAGGAGUUACCAAAGCUUUGCCAGCCUUGGUGUGAAUACAGCAAUCGGAUGUAACAGCAGUUUCAAGGCUGCAGAGAGCCAUCAGGGCUUCCCCUGUUUAUCUACAAAAUGAGGUUUUUCCCAAACAAGAUGCCUUCUCAGCCAAAAUUUGAAGUCCUGCUUGAAAGUGGAGGAGGAUGGAAUAUCUUACCUGGCAAAAUUCUUUCUGAAGGAUAGCAGGAAGAUCACAUCCCCUCAGUGUACAUCUUCAGCAAAAAGUGUGCACAGCCAGUACAUAAUAGAGUUGAAAAAAUGUGGACCCUCACCAUUAUAUGUAUAAUCCUCCAAUUGAAGAGCAACAAGUUCUCCUCUCCUACUGGGACACGAAGAUGUUAUGCUCGUGCAUUUAUGACGACCACUGAUGGACAAUCAUCACCUCCAUAACUAUGCAAAUGACUACCUCAUUCUCAGAUUGUAUGUACUGACUGCUAGGAAAAGAGUAUGGGGCCUUAGGAAGAGAUACACAAUCAGGAUGCAUCAUCUGGCUCGUCUGCUGUGUGCUACCGUGAUUGGAGGAGUAGCUGUGGAGAUGCUCCAUUUCUGGAAAAUAAGUUUCCUACACCCUGCCAGACCUGGACAAGAGGAAUUAAUACUGAAAGAUCCAGCAGCAAAAAGCCUUUGAAGCUCACUUCUUAGAGGUGCUGCUGUUACAACAGAUAAAAUGAGCUGGCAGAAAGGAAAGAAGGAACUUACAGAAGAAAGCAUAGGAGAUGGGAAACACAACCGAAAAAAGCGGGAGCGAAUAUUUAAGAAAAGAUUUUCUGGACUGAGUCUCUUCUCUGGGUCUCCUAGGAAUAAACUCCCUCAGGGAAGGAGUCAGAGUUUUGAAGACAAGAAGAGAUGUUUACACAGGAAAGGUUCCAAAAAGCCGAAGCCAGCACGGGAGGAAAUAUGUUCUUUAAGGCAACCACAUUCUGGAAAAAUGUGUCCAAAAUGUGAAAUCCUUGUCUGCCGAAAAUGUGAGACACUGCAUUCAGGAAGCAGCUUCAUUGCUCACAGCCUGCUUGAUCACUACGACAGAGGAGGACAGGGCAGCUCUACUACAUUGAUUACAAAAAGCCAGAAAGUACGCAGAGGCGAUUAAAGAACCUAUGUGGGUGCCUUGUUGAUACCUGACUACAUUGAAAAUGCUGAAAAGCUUGGAUCCAUUUAGCCUGAACCCUCGGUCUGCACGAUCUGUAUGCAGCAUCAGCAACUGCAGCUAUACUGUUGUUGACACUUACUAUAUGUAGCAGAUGCACAUCCACUCAUUUAACCAGUAUAAAGUCUGUAAGUAGGAACUGUAAGUGUCUCAGCUACUAAGAACAGGAAAUGAUAUCAGUUUCAAAGAGUUUUAUUUUUCGUCUCAAGGAAUCAAGAUUAUCACCUUGAGCUGCAAAAGAGAAAGCAAGUAUUAAAUGCAGAACCAACGGGUACAUUACAAUUGUUUGUAAUGUGUAGGUAUGUUUCAGUGUUACUUGUGGCCUGGAAUAUUAAACUUAUUUUUAAAUUCA